rnacentral:rRNA from 1 species
GACAGAGGUGCCGAGCGUUAGGCGGAAUCACUGGGCUUAAAGCGCGUGUAGGCGGGCCGCCGCGUCGGCUGCUGAAAUCCCCCGGCUCAACCGGGGAAGGGGCACCGAUACGGGCGGCCUGGAGGGGGGUAGGGGGGUCUGGAACUUCCGGUGGAGCGGUGAAAUGCGUUGAGAUCGGAAGGAACGCCCGUGGCGAAAGCGAGGCCCUGGACCCUUACUGACGCUGAGACGCGAAAGCCAGGGGAGCGAACGGG